UCGGCGGUGGCGAUUGGUGGAUCUGCAAAUGAUGCGGCUGCGCGUAAAACGACGUGCACGGUGCAACGGUCACAGUGGAAACUGCGCCGCUCAGCGAGCUUUGCGCGAGUCGCCUGCACAGCCUCGAAAAAACGUGGAAUGGAGCUCAGGGAAAACUGGCUGAUUGCUUUGACGGUCCCGCUGCUGCGCGCAGGUGCUGCAGGAGAAAAGAAAACUGCGGUCACCAAAGGAUUUAGGACCGCUGUCAAACGGUAGAGGUCCCCAUAACAACAACAACAACAGAGACCAUAUGGCCUGUGAAAACAAACACUGACUGAAAUGCAACACCACAUUGUGCUGCAUUUCAGGGUUUGGUCAGACCUGAUCUAAAUCUGCUUCGUGGUCACCGGCUAUAGUGCUGCACCCUCUGUGGAAGGUAAACACAGCAGAUGGGAGCGUAAUCCGAGAUUCUGAUGCACGUGGGGUUUAUUUAAUAGGUGUUGUGUUGAAGGAGAAGUGUUCACACGUUCCUCCUGCUGCUCCUUGUUUUUCUCACAUGAUAUGAAAGACCAAGGAGCAAAGAAGGGAGGAGCAAUGCAUUAGUUAUUUGCACUGGACUGGAAAGGGAAAAAAGAAAGUCUCUCAUAACCAAGGAUUUGAAUGAAUACCCAGAUAUUCUUUGACGUUUUAAUUUAACAUGCCAUCUUAAUUAUUUAAAAUACCAAGAUAUUUAUCAUGUUAGUUUUUUGCCUACACUGCCCUUUUGCUAACAGUAUCUUCAGACUAGGAAAACACAUUGAAAGCAUCUGUUUGCACCCAAACAAAGUAUGAAUGAGCUGUCAUUCUUCCACAAAAUAAGAUACAUACAAUAACAUAAGACUACACGAUUAGUACACACAAAGACACAAAGGCAGCCUUUGGUAAAAUUGUUUUAUUAAUCUGAGAAUGUAACACAAUCGGGAAACCGAGAAUUCAAAAUGAGGAAGGAAAAUCCCACAACACUGUGGUUACAAAACAGCAGUUGGGUGUGGUCCCAUGUAACAUAGCACUUUUACUCCAAGCCCUUUCAUUCGGCCACACAGACUGGCAUAUUGCGCUCCCCAACAUGAAACCAAAGCGUGGAUCAGAUGCGGCGACAAAGACCCAUCGCCCCACAGACUCGCCCCAUCCACACAAAUCCACAGACAUCUUGUCCUCUUGUUAUUGAAAACAAAUGAUUAAUUUGUAUCUUUGGUCUGCCAUCUCCCAGGUCUCCAACACCACCCACUUAGACCAUAAGGAAACCGAGGACGAGGCUAAUUUGUUCAUAUAAUAAAUUAUUAUUUUAAAAAACUUUGAAUUUUUGUAUUAUUUCAAAACCUUUACCAAUUACUUGUAAAAUGCAUUAACACAUACAUUCAAUCAGAAAGGCAGAUAUACACUUCAUAUGAUUAAUGCUCCUGAAUCAUAAAAUGUACUGAAAUUUAACUGACUUAACGUUACAAAAACAGAGCAAAAUACUAUUUGAUUUUGAUGAUUCAAAUCUAUAAGCAACCAUACAAAUAAAAAAGAUAUGUAAUAGCAUAGAAUGCGAUAUAUAUUCUGUGCAUUGUUCUUUAUCGCAGCCCGAGAGUGUUGUAGGGUGACUGUGAGUUUU